rnacentral:rRNA from 1 species
AUACGUAGGGGGCGAGCGUUGUCCGGAAUGAUUGGGCGUAAAGGGCGCGUAGGCGGCCCGGUAAGUCUGGAGUGAAAGUCCUGUUUUUAAGAUGGGAAUUGCUUUGGAUACUGUCGGGCUUGAGUGCAGGAGAGGUAAGUGGAAUUCCCAGUGUAGCGGUGAAAUGCGUAGAGAUUGGGAGGAACACCGGUGGCGAAGGCGACUUACUGGACUGUAACUGAAGCUGAGGCGCGAAAGUGUGGGGAGCAAACAGGAUUAGAUACCCUGGUAGUCCACACUGUAAACGAUGAAUGCUAGGUGUAGGGGGUAUCGACCCCUUCUGUGCCGCAGUCAACACAAUAAGCAUUCCGCCUGGGGAGUACGGCCGCAAGGUUGAAACUCAAAUGAAUUGGCGGGG